UCUAUAUAUUGUUUUAGAAAAAAUAAAUUGAGUGCUAGCUAGAGCUAGAGUUGAAAAAUGAGUUCUUCCAAAUUGAUAGUUGCAUUUUCUCUCGUGAUUAUGGUGGCCAUUUCCUAUGAGCUUUUUUGUGAGAUGAAAAUAAACGCCGAAACACAGACGUGCUUUGACCACUGUAAUGAGACUUACGAGAGUAAGGAGAGUAGGAAUUGCAACAAACGAUGUUUGGAAAUGGCUUUCACGGGUGGUACUUGGCUAGUUGUAUUGAACAACAUGAACUUCCUCACAAACCUUUUAUUCAUUGUUCUUGUUGUUGUAAACAUUGUGUAUAAAGUCUUUUAGUGGGAGGAUAAUAUAAUACUUCUUCCGUUUCAUAAAACUAAUGUCGUUUUAAAAUUUUAUUUUUGUUUUACAAAAUAUAUCGAUUUGUAUUUCUAAUGUAGAAUUUUGAAUAAAAAUUAAUUUUUAACUCUA